rnacentral:rRNA from 1 species
UACGGACGGGGCAAGCGUUGUUCGGAAUCAUUGGGCGUAAAGGGCGCGUAGGUGGCUCUGUAUGUCUACCGUGAAAGCAUACAGCUCAACUGUAUUUUGUCGGUAGAAACUGCAGGACUUGAGGCUGGGAGGGGCUGGUGGAAUUCCCUGUGUAGCGGUGAAAUGCGUAGAGAUCCGGAGGAACACCAGUGGCGAAGGCGACACGCUGGGCCGUACCUGACACUGAUGCGCGACAGCAUGGGGAGCAAACAGG